GCCCAGCCAUUUCCGCCGUAGGGAAUGUUCCAAGCCAAAUACGUGAUUUCUUGCGGGGUUGACGGAUUUCUGACACCCAUUUGCCCCAGCUUCUCAUCCUAACACCUCUAUAGACAGGGUGCUUGCUAUCUUUUGCUCGUUUUGUUGUUCUGUCUACUGGCUCUUGAGCUUUGGACUUGCUAGAGGUGCUGGUGGUGGUGGUGGCGGCUGCGGCGGCGGUGGGGGAAGAUGGUGAGGUUGGCGGAGAUGAAGAAUAGAUGCUGGUACUUUGUUCUGACAUUGUUGAAGGAUACUGCAGUAGGAGAUGAUUCUUGAAAAGAAGACGCUGGUAUUAGCAAUUUAGCAGAGAGAAAGGAAGAGGACAACGAGGAAGAUGAGAAUUAUUAAU
rnacentral:misc_RNA from 1 species